CACUCCUCUUUUCUAGUUAUACCCUACGCAUUUAUCUCUGCUGAUUUGGAAAAAAAUGACAAGUAAACCUACCUGGAAAUGGAACAGUUGGCUGAGCAAAGCCAAACCAUGCUCCUGGAAUGGGAAUAUUGCUGCAGUACAGCAAUGUAAAGAAGUUCUCAUAUUUGAAGGCAUAUUAAGUCGUGGGCUCCCAUGAUUUAUGUGGACAUCUGUCCUGUGAGAAAGGAUUGCCAGAUUUAACUAAGUUAAAUCUGCGUACUGACAGAUGGCAAUGAUGUCCACCGUAAGAAGUGUCUGAAUUAUUUAGAGAUAGCAUACAGAAAUAGAGGCUGCCUAAAUGCAUUGAAGAUUCUCAUUGGUACAUGCAGCUCUCAUGGAUCCACAUCUACCAGAUGAACCUGAUUUGACUAGGACUUAGCAAACAGGAGAGGAACAAACCAACUAUCAGUGAGGAUUUAGUGUCCAUAAGGAUGAAACAGCCAGGGAAGAGCAGGCCCACAAAAAACGUGACAGCAGAGCAAGGAAAAAAUGGUCAGUUCACAGCCAAAAGCACUGGAGAGCGCGUGAUGCAGGUGAUCAUACUGAACCAGCCUUUCUGCCUGAAGAAGUCAUGACUCAGUGAGCAGAGCAGCUGAACACCAAGAGAUUAGGAUAAUUCUGUGUGCUGACUGAGAAGAAAACGAAGAUUUUCUUCCACGACUGAAAAUCCAUUAAAAAACUACAAUUAAAAAAAAAAAAAACCAGCAGAUAAGCAAAUAUUCCCUAGAUAGCUUCCUCAGCUGGGCUCAGGCCAGGAUUCUCUGCAAGUGAACAUCUCCAGAAAUAACAUCAGUUAGGCUCUAAGAACUAACUGGAAUUGUUACACAUUGCCAAGACAUAUCUUCUAAGGUUGGAGGGGGAGUUAUGGGAGGCCAUUGUGGUUGAUCCCUCCUAAAGGCAUCACAAAGAGCACGUCACAUCCUGAUCUAAUCUGACAGCUGAGGUAUGUCUGUCUCCAUUCCUAGCAACCUCUUCCCUCCAAACAUACAUUUUCACAUAAAAUGGUCAUGCUUUCAUGAUUCUCAUGCCAAAGUUUUUCUAGAGAGACAAAGUUACAAAGUUUCCACUUUAUCCAUCAAAUUUUGGAGUACUUGUAUGAUUAUUGCUCAUAAACAUCAGCUCUUCUGCCACUGCAUAGAUUAGAUAAAGCUGUUUGUAUCCCUGCUCCAUCCUCUGACAAAUGCUAUUGGAUACAGGAGUCAGAUCUAUGUUUCAGGCUGCCCAGUUCCCUGGAGAUGAGAGCAGCUCUCUUCCCAACUCCUGUGAGAAUCUGAAACUUCCUGCUGCUUCCACCAACCCAAAGGAGAAGUUGUACCAGUCAUGUGAUCGCAGUCUGCUAUUGCAAAUUACUUUUCCCACCCUUGUUUGUGAAGAACAGAAUGAACACAUCAGAAUUUUACUGGUUUCCAUAUUUUUCCCCCCUUGUCUGGAGAGAAAUCUAAUUGUGGCAGAAGCCCCAGGUGCUGUCACAUAUCUUGUGUGUUGCCUCUCAUUCUGUCCAUCAAAGUUGUCCUCACAAAUAAGAAGUUAGCAGACCAGUACACCCUUCAAUUUUUUUUUUUUUGUCGGGGGAGGAGGGGAGUUGUGUUUGAAUUUUGUGGCUGAAUACCAGCAUUUAGACCAAGAAAAGUGAGUAAUAAUUUUGAUUUCACAUAAAGACUAGCACACUGAAAAUAGACUUCACAACAAGAUUUUGAUUUAUGCUACUGGCAAUGCAAUCUCUUCCAGCACUAGGUUUUUAGCAAAUAUUUAGUGAUUAGAAAUGUCCUGCAACCAGACAGCUAAAUCCAUUCAUGAAGUAUCUUUAUGUGUUUGUGAGACAGAACUGUCAAGUGAAUAAUUAGUUCCUAGAAUGUUUCAGGCUAUAUUGUUUUCUUAACAAAUAUGUUUGUCUACUUGCUUUUGACUGGUAGAUUUUAUUAGUUUCUGACAUGUGCUUUCCUCCCUUGAUGGCUUCCCUGCUUGAAAGAACACAAUUAUUCUGUGUUUGCUAGAAGUUUUAAAGGAUGAUAAUUGUUUUAUAUGUAAUGCCUUACUUUAAGUACUGGAGAUAACACUGUCUUUGUUCAUUAACUUCAUGACUCAACUGUUGUCCUCAAAAUACUCGUCUUGCCAAGAUCUCUCUUGCUUAAUGAGAAGGCACAAGCAGCAAAACUACUAAAUGAAUUCAAGGACAUUUCUGGAGAUCUGCUCGCCUUCUGAAAUGAAGAUAAGGCCAGAAGGAAAAGACAAAUCUUAUUGCCAGCAUAAAUGGAAAAGUGGAAAGAAAACAUGGAAACGGUAAAAAGCUGUAAGCCGCGGAGGGAGCUGUGUCCUCUGGGGGAGAGACAUUGGGACCUAUUUGCUGACUCUGGAGAAAGAGUCCUAUGUGCUAUGUAAAUUCAUGGGUCAAGCUCAAGAGGAGACCUGCUGUUCUGCUGAAGAGAAGGCAGGUAGAAUUCAGUGGUAAUAUUGGUGCUAAGUGUAAGCCAAAAAAAAAAAAAAAGAAAAGGAAAUCAUGAUGUCCGUGUUUCUAAGAUAACAAUAUAUUAUUUUAUUUUCUUUGGAUAUGUCUUGCAAAUGCAUCACAGUCUUGUCCAAUUCUUGAUAGGAGACUGAAAUUCAGUGGUUGCAAAUUCAGAAGAAAUAGGUUUCACUAGCUCUGUUGUUUGGACAGGAGACUUUGAGAUUUUUGUAUAUCAAAGAAAAUAUUUUAUUCAUAAUGUCCCUGCACACUAGUGAGAUGGACUGUGUUGGUGAAUGGCCAGGAUGCUGGGUACAAUUGCAAGCGGGGAAAAAUUAGGGAUGUUCUUCUUCACUGAGGUAAUCAUAUCAUGGUAUAUAGAGUCAUAUGUUCCUUUCUGAAGUAUUUGUUUAAUUAAUGCUCCCAAGACCAAAAGAAAAUCUUCUGCAAGUAUAUGAACAAAUGGGGCAGAGUAGAGAGGCAAUGUUAAGCUACAGUUUAACUCAGCAGUAACUUUUAGUCAUCAAAGCAAGUCCCUUCGAAAUGGAUUCUCUUUUUGUAAGUCAACUUACCAUCUUUCUUGUUUUCACAUGUUAAAGACUGUGCCUGUUUUUACCUCUAGCUGAAUACCUCGAAUUUGCUCAGCUUUCUAACACAGCUUUAUUUAUAGUGCUUUUUGAUUCCAUGCACACUUUGAGGGAUGUUUUAUGUUUCAUUUAUUUUUUAUGUUUUCUUCUCUCACGUCCAAUCUCAUCUGUCCAAAAAUCAUUUCAUAGUAGUUGUCUUAUUAAUACUUAAUUGAUUAAAUAAUAUAAAAACAUUUUAAUCUUUUGUGAACGAUUCAGUUAUUAAACAUGAAAGAUAUGUAUUUGCUUAGUACUUAAUUUUUUUUUAACAUAUGAAAAUAUUGAACACCUGUUAAGAAUGAGAGAAUAAGCUAAAUAAAAAGGUAACUUCUCUUUGCCAGAUAGGGGCUAAUUUCCAUUUCUUACAGAUUCAUCAAUUUAUUCCAUCUUUAUCUAACCACAAUGCUAUUGUAAAGAUGAAAAUCCCAAUCCAUCAGCCCUGAAAUGUUUUUUAAAGUUUGAUGCUUGCAGAAAGCAACACAUAGCUUUCAGAAAUCAGUAGAAAAGAGAUGUACUAGAUAAUAAAUAAGGAAGGUAAUUGCACCCAUUGUUUAUGUCAGUAAAAAAUGAGAAUGCGUUUUAAAAAAAAGAGCAAAAAAAUUCUAGCUGUAUUAUAAAAUAGUUACACAGGCCUAUCUCACCUUCAGAAAUAACUGACAGUUAAGAAACCAGCUUACAAUAAAAUCCAUUGGACAGUUUAAGCACCUAAUAAAAUGCUCUUACAUAUGGUGACUUGAAAUGCUUUGUUUCAUUAUUGCUUUAUCAGUUUACUUGCAUUACAGCAUUUCCCAAACUGAAUCUGAUUUUCUGUACCCCAAUAACACGCAUAGUGAGGAAAUUGGCCGAUUAAAUGUAUAAAAACCUUUGUUGAAUGAAUAACUUGUUCUAUUUCCUUCCUUCAAAUUACUCACUUUUGAAAUGCUCCAGUGGCUUUUAGUAAUAUGUUCUGGUUCAUAAGGGUGCUUAAUCCUUAAAUAAUAUGUGUGAUGAUGCAGUGGCUGAUGAAAGAUAUGAUCUUAAAGAGUUAUUCUGAAAAUGAGUGCAGAAAGUUGGAUGAUUUACUGUAGCUAGCAGAAGGAUCUCUGUCUAAAGUUGCAAGGGAGGGCAAAAAACAUUGUAGGUUAGUGAAAGGUGAAACUGCCCUUUAUUGAAAAUAAUUUAUUGAAAAUAAGAAAUUACCUGAAGCCAAACAGAUAAUUUCUAAAUAAUUUCUAAACAUUUCUAAUAAAUUCAUACAUCCAAACUGAUUCGAGGGGUAUCAUCUUGUAAUUUUUGUAGCUGAAGUUGUUCAUGCAUUUAGUAAUGCAGACUACAUACUGUUUGAACAAUGGAGAUGCUCCUUAAUAUACUAUUUACUUUGCUAAUGACAUCAAAUCCAAUUUUUCUUAGGAAAAGUUUUCUAGUGUUAUUUUGCCAUUGCUGAAAUACAUAGUACCAAAAUGAAGACUUUCUAAAAGUUGUUUUCAGAUUUUAUUGAAUCUUAUUAAACAUAAAUAUGACUUCACUGCAAACAGAUUUUAUAGUUCUGG